UACGGAGGGUGCAAGCGUUAUCCGGAUUCACUGGGUUUAAAGGGUGCGUAGGCGGGCAGGUAAGUCAGUGGUGAAAUCUCAGAGCUUAACUCUGAAACUGCCAUUGAUACUAUUUGUCUUGAAUUCUCUGGAGGUGAGCGGAAUAUGUCAUGUAGCGGUGGAAUGCUUAGAUAUGACAUAGAACACCCAUUGCGAAGGCAGCUCACUACGGAGUCAUUGACGCUGAGGCACGAAAGCGUGAGGAUCAAACAGG
rnacentral:misc_RNA from 1 species